rnacentral:rRNA from 1 species
AAACUUUCAACAACGGAUCUCUUGGUUCUGGCAUCGAUGAAGAACGCAGCGAAAUGCGAUAAGUAAUGUGAAUUGCAGAAUUCAGUGAAUCAUCGAAUCUUUGAACGCACAUUGCGCCCCCUGGUAUUCCGGGGGGCAUGCGUGUUCGAGCGUCAUU